rnacentral:rRNA from 1 species
CUACGGAGGAUGCAAGCGUUAUCCGGAUUUAUUGGGUUUAAAGGGUGCGCAGGCGGAAAAUUAAGUCAGUGGUGAAAUCCUACAGCUUAACUGUAGAACUGCCAUUGAUACUGAUUUUCUUGAGUGCAGUUGAGGUAGGCGGAAUGUGUAAUGUAGCGGUGAAAUGCUUAGAUAUUACACAGAACACCGAUUGCGUAGGCAGCUUACUAAACUGUUACUGACGCUCAGGCACGAAAGCGUGGGGAGCGAACAGGAUUAGAAACCCUAGUAGUCC